rnacentral:rRNA from 1 species
AUUGAACGCUGGCGGCAGGCUUAACACAUGCAAGUCGAGCGGGGUGAUGUAGCUUGCUACAUUACCUAGCGGCGGACGGGCGAGUAAUGCUUAGGAAUCUGCCUAUUAGUGGGGGACAACAUUCCGAAAGGAAUGCUAAUACCGCAUACGCCCUACAGGGGAAAGCAGGGGAACUUCGGACCUUGCGCUAAUAGAUGAGCAUAAGUCAGAUUAGCUAGUUGGUGGGGUAAAGGCCUACCAAGGCGACGAUCUGGAGCGGGUCUGAGAGGAUGAUCCGCCACACUGGAACUGAGACACGGCCCAGACUCCUACGGGAGGCAGCAGUGGGGAAUAUUGGACAAUGGGCGGAAGCCUGAUCCAGCCAUGCCGCGUGUGUGAAGAAGGCCUUUUGGUUGUAAAGCACUUUAAGCGAGGAGGAGGCUACUUGGAUUAAUACUCUAGGAUAGUGGACGUUACUCGCAGAAUAAGCACCGGCUAACUCUGUGCCAGCAGCCGCCGUAACAC